CCUUGAAAGAGUGCGUAAUAGCUCACUGGUCAAGUGGUUCUGCGCCGACAAUGUAGCGGGGCUCAAGCGUACCGCCGAAGCUGUGGCAGCAACACGUGAUUCUGGCGCCAGGAACUGGAGUGCUGGUGUGUUGUUGGGUAGGGGAGCGUCCUGCAUGAGGUGAAGCCUGGAGGUGACUUCUGGUGGAUUGUGUGGGAGUGAGAAUGCAGGCAUGAGUAACGAAUCUGCGGUGGGAAUCCGCAGCGCCGAUUGACUAAGGGUUCCAGGGCUAGGUUUAUCCGCCCUGGGUUAGUCGGGUCCUAAGGCGAGGCCGACAGGCGUAGUCGAUGGACAACCAGUUGAUAUUCUGGUACCGCGUUGUGACCGCCCGUGCUGAUGUCACUGUGCUAACCAAUUCGCCUGCACCCCCUCAUGACCUUCGGGUUGUGAGUGUGUGUGUGGGUCUUGGGGUCCUGGUGAUAGUAGGCAAGCGUGUUAACAGGGGUGACGCAGACAGGUAGCUGCAGUGCGCCGAUGGUUGUGCGUAUUUAAGGUUGUGGCCCGCCCCUCAGGUAAAUCCGGGGGGCGUGAGGGUGAGGACUGAUGA
rnacentral:rRNA from 1 species